rnacentral:rRNA from 1 species
CCUACGGGUGGCUGCAGUGGGGAAUAUUGGACAAUGGGCGAAAGCCUGAUCCAGCCAUGCCGCGUGUGUGAAGAAGGCCUUCGGGUUGUAAAGCACUUUCAGUGGGGAAGAAAGCCUUGGGGCUAAUACCCUCGAGGAAGGACAUCACCCACAGAAGAAGCACCGGCUAACUCCGUGCCAGCAGCCGCGGUAAUACGGAGGGUGCGAGCGUUAAUCGGAAUUACUGGGCGUAAAGCGCGCGUAGGCGGUCUGAUAAGCCGGUUGUGAAAGCCCCGGGCUCAACCUGGGAACGGCAUCCGGAGCUGUCAGGCUAGAGUGCAGGAGAGGAAGGUAGAAUUCCCGGUGUAGCGGUGAAAUGCGUAGAGAUCGGGAGGAAUACCAGUGGCGAAGGCGGCCUUCUGGACUGACACUGACGCUGAGGUGCGAAAGCGUGGGUAGCAAACAGGAUUAGAUACCCCAGUAGUC